UUCCGGUUGAUCCUGCCGGACCCGACUGCUAUUUGGGUGAGGAUAAGCCAUGCGAGUUGUAUGGGAUACCUAAAUUUCCCAUGGCAAACUGCUUAGUAACACAUGAUCAACUUACCCUAUGGAGAAAAAUAACCUCGGGAAACUGAGGAUAAUGUUUCAUAGGUGAAUAGGCUUGGAAAAGUUUUUCAUCGAAAAGGAUAAGAAAAAUGGUUUUUAUCUGCUAUAGGAUAGGAUCGUGGUCGAUUAUGGUUGUUGGUGAGGUAACGGCUCACCAAGCCGACAAUCGAUAGGGGCCGUGAGAGCGGGAGCCCCAAGAUGGGUACUGAGACAGCGACCCAGGCCUUACGAGGCGCAGCAGGCGCGGAACCUCCGCAAUACACGAAAGUGUGACGGGGUUACCCAAAGUGUUCUUUUAAGAACUGUGGUAGGUGAGUAAUAUCCCCUACUAGAAAGGAGAGGGCAAGGCUGGUGCCAGCCGCCGCGGUAAAACCAGCUCUUCAAGUGGUCGGGAUAAUUAUUGGGCUUAAAGUGUCCGUAGCCGGUUUAGUAAGUUCCUGGUAAAAUCGGGUAGCUUAACUAUCCGCAUGCUAGGAAUACUGCUAUACUAGAGGGCGGGAGAGGUCUGAGGUACUACAGGGGUAGGGGUGAAAUCUUAUAAUCCUUGUAGGACCACCAGUGGCGAAGGCGUCAGACUGGAACGCGCCUGACGGUGAGGGACGAAGGCCAGGGGAGCGAACCGGAUUAGAUACGUUGGUGUUAUUUGAAUGUAAUGUAAGAAUUACUAACACAAUGCUAAAAACCCGGGUAGUCCUGGCCGUAAACGAUGCAUACUAGGUGAUGAUACGGCCAUGAGCCGUGUCAGUGCCGUAGGGAAACCGUUAAGUGUGCCGCCUGGGAAGUACGGUCGCAAGGCUAAAACUUAAAGGAAUUGGCGGGGGAGCACCACAAGGGGUGAAGCCUGCGGUUCAAUUGGAUUCAACGCCGGGCAAUCACUAGUGCG
rnacentral:rRNA from 1 species